CCGGGGCUCGGCGCGGGAGCCGGAGCGGGAGCCGGCGCGGAGCGGGACGCCGCGUCCCGAGCGGCCGGCGGCCGGAGCUCGCCCCCGCCCCUCCCUCCUCUCCUUCGGCGGCGGCGGCGGCGGCGGGCGGAGUGAGCUGCGGAGCCUGGAAUAUGGUCGGGGAAAUGGAAACGAAGGAGAAGCCGAAGCCCACCCCAGAUUACUUGAUGCAGCUGAUGAACGACAAGAAGCUCAUGAGCAGCCUGCCCAACUUCUGCGGGAUCUUCAACCACCUCGAGCGGCUGCUGGACGAAGAAAUUAGCAGAGUACGGAAAGACAUGUACAAUGACACAUUAAAUGGCAGUACGGAGAAAAGGAGUGCAGAAUUGCCUGAUGCUGUGGGACCUAUUGUUCAGUUACAAGAGAAACUUUAUGUGCCUGUAAAAGAAUACCCAGAUUUUAAUUUUGUUGGGAGAAUCCUUGGACCUAGAGGACUUACAGCUAAACAACUUGAAGCAGAAACAGGAUGUAAAAUAAUGGUCCGAGGCAAAGGCUCAAUGAGGGAUAAAAAGAAGGAGGAGCAAAACAGAGGCAAGCCUAAUUGGGAGCAUCUAAAUGAAGAUUUACAUGUACUAAUCACUGUGGAAGAUGCUCAGAACAGAGCAGAAAUCAAGCUGAAGAGAGCAGUUGAAGAAGUGAAAAAGUUACUGGUACCUGCAGCCGAAGGAGAAGACAGCCUGAAGAAGAUGCAACUGAUGGAGCUUGCGAUUUUGAAUGGCACCUACAGAGACGCCAACAUUAAAUCACCAGCCCUUGCCUUUUCUCUUGCAGCAACUGCCCAGGCUGCUCCAAGGAUCAUCACUGGGCCUGCGCCUGUCCUCCCACCAGCUGCUCUGCGUACACCUACGCCAGCUGGCCCUACCAUAAUGCCUUUGAUCAGACAAAUACAGACCGCUGUCAUGCCAAACGGAACUCCUCACCCAACUGCUGCAAUAGUCCCUCCGGGGCCUGAAGCUGGGUUAAUCUACACACCCUAUGAAUACCCCUACACGUUGGCACCAGCUACAUCAAUCCUUGAGUACCCCAUUGAACCCAGUGGUGUGUUAGAGUGGAUUGAAAUGCCAGUCAUGCCUGAUAUUUCAGCCCAUUGACUUGCUGGAUGAAGGACUAGAGUACAGCAGCUGUUAUAGCACGACCAGUCAAUGUGGAAAAAAAACUCUCUGUGCAACACCACUGUUUUACCAGACAGAAUUUUGAAACUUUUUUUUCCCCUGAAUUGUGUAUGACCUUUGGUGCUGCGUGCUUGCUAUUGAUUUUUUAGAACUUUGAUCUUUUAAAGGGCUUCCCCAGCUUAAUAUUAAUUGGAAAAUUGUUAAUGAACUUGGACACAAAGAUUUAAACUUGAAAAUUUAUUGUUCAUUUAAAGAAAGCCACAGUGCUCUGUAUGUUAUCUGUGUGUGUGCAUGCACCUACGUGCCUUUUGUUUUAUAAACAAAUGCAUUUUAUUGUAAUGUUUUCUGUCUGAAUCAUUGUAUAAAAUAAGUCAAAAUUAUACCACAGAAAUGUUAGUGAGAAAAGCUGUGUUUUGUUGUACAUUUCUUGAAGCAUUUUUUAAAAAUAACAUGUAACCUGUAACCUUAUUUAAGUUUUCCUUUCUAUUAAUACUCUGUCCUGUGGCCCUGUGCAUGCUCCUUCCCCAGCACUCCUCUCUGCUGCACUCACAGCAUCUGUUCCUGAGGAGUUAACUACUCUUGGCUUUCUGCAUGUCUGGGGCUCCUGACUCUUAGUACAAGAGCUCCCUAGUUUUGCCAGAUAGAAUUAUAUUUCUAUGCAAUCUGCAUAUCUAAAAUGAAAAAUAGAUUCUCAACCAGUUUACUGCUUAGAGCAAGAGGCACUGCUCUAAAAUUUCUCAUUGUAAAGCAGCAUGUUUUGUUUGGUUGGAAAAUCUAAAAUUAUGAAGACUUGAGUAUUAAACCAGGAAAAUUAAGAGCAAAAUAUGCAGAUACCCAAUUAGCAUUUUCAAGGUUCUUAAUAAUAAGUACUAAGUGAUAAAAAUACCCUUAUGAUUAUUGUCGUUUAUUACUUUGCCACCUAAGCAGUAAAACUAUGAUAUCGGCCUUCUGGAGAACUGAAAAAAUUUUAAAUUCCCAUUUAUAGUAAAUUUGCACACAGAUAACAUGCAUGCUUAUAUAUCCAGUUUCAACAUUAUUUUAAAAUAAGCAGUGCCCUUCAAAACAGAUGCAGACAUGUGUGUUGGUGGUAGUGAGGAGAUUGGUAUUAGCAUCAAAUCUUCAUUGAUGACUAAUGUUUAAUUCCCUUCCUUUUAUCUUUAGGUAUGGCUUUCCCAACGAAAGGCUAAGAAUUCAAGAACGGUCUUAACUGAACCCUCAUCAGAUCUGAAUUUAACCAAUGCUUAGUCUCAGCAGCCUCCGGGGAAAAGCUUAGCCUAGCAGUCAGUGACUUACUUGCACUUUUGCACAUAGAGAUAAAGUAAAAUGUUAUUAAUUUGGAUUAGUCUGUUAUACUGCAAAGCAACGGUAAUUUAUAAAAGGAGUGUAUAGUAGUAUACUGACUGCUAAGUGUACUGUACUGUUUGCUUUACUAAUCACCUAAUUCAUUGCAGUUCAUACUUAUUGACUCAAAAGUUUAAAACCACAAUCUGUAGGCUUUAAGAGUUGCUUUUUAAACCUUUUUAAGUAAUAAACUCUGAAAGUUAAGGUUAGCAAAUACUCGUCAGUAUUAAAUGUGGCAUUAUUUGAGUAGUUCUGCUGCAAGAAAGGCACUUCAGUGAAUAUGUGACUAGUAAAGCCCACUACGUCUGAUCUCAGAGAGCUUGUGAGACACUGUGACUUGGGGACUGUCCAUGAAGGGAUGAAGUAGGAGGAAGGCCAACCUGUUCGAAACGAAUGCAAUAUUGGUAGAUGCAUAUAUACAUGACAUACUACAGUUAAUUUUAAAACUACUGUGCCUUAACGUGUUUCUUAAGCUUUUUGUAGUAAGUGAACAUUUGAGAUCCAUUUUGAUAAACCUGCUGUCGAUGUUUCCCUUAUGUAUGUUUUCUAACUUUGUCUUGGUAAUUGCAAUUUAACUAGGUGCGGUGGCUACUAAAGUUCGAAGGCACGAUAUGCGUGUCCAUCCUUACCAAAGGAUUGUGACCGCAGACCGAGCCGCCACCGGCAACUAACCUAUGACCUUCUGACCUCUGAACUCUUCACCCAAUGAUGACCUGACCAUGCCUGCCUGCUGAUCAGUUAACUGGUAAUCGCCUUUGCUUGCCUGUCGUCAGUGCAGCGAGCUGAGGCACUUGUCCGUUCGUCUUACCAUCUAACCAAACAAAAGACAAAGAAAUUGUCCUCCAACUCAGCUUUUCCCCCCUGUUUGGGUGAAAGUGGUUCUAGAACCUGCACUGAAUAGUAGUAAAGCAAUAAGGCCCGAUUCAUCCCACAGCACUGAUCAUCUUUCAAUGCCCACCCCAAGCGAACGGUAAGAAGGCCUCUCUUAAGAAGGGGAGACAGAAGGCCCUAACUACUCAAUGACAGAGGCAGUUACUGUGAGAGACUUGUAGGACUCUUUUUCUUCUCAUAGCAAAGUCAAAGCUCUCUCUGAAUGUACUGUGUGACAAUGCAUCAUGCAUGAACCUUCGGUCAGGGAUGUCAUUGGUGAAGUGACUUCAAAAGUAUUCAAAAUUUGACAUGCUGUUUGUUUAGUCACUACAGUGCCCUCAAAGGGCAGAAAUUGCAGCCUUUUUAUAUUGCCUGCCAAAAUUUGAAGUAUUAGAACAAAGUGUGCCAUGAGAGAAAAACUUAACAAGGAGUUUUGAAAAGUAAUGCAAAGAACAAAACUGCAACACUAUUUUUAAAAAGUUGAGUAUCUUAGUUAAUUUCCAAAUCUUUAUUUUACACCACCUUAAAAAUUAUUCGAGAACAAGGUACAUGCAUUAUGUGUCACAUUACUGGGCAAACUGUUCAAAUAUUUUUUUUAAACCUCCCUGUAUAGAAAAUAUCAUUAAGGAUGUAAAAGCCAUGCUUGCCUAUUUGCUGUAUACAUGUAAUGAAAUUGUAGAUAACGUGUAGUGCAUUGAAACAAAUGAACAAAAAGUAGAUACUUUUACUAUACAAGGGUGCUGGUGCAGAAAAAAUAUAUAUAUUUUUGGAAAUGUAGCAUUUUAUACUUUCAAGUGUUAUAAAAAAAAGAAAAAGAACAAAGAAACCCUUUAUUUCAUUAAAUGAUUUUUUCUGGUGGUUGUCAAGAAACAAAAGACCAAAAGAGCCUUUUUGUCUUUGUUUUUUAUUUUUUAAGUAUUGGAAUAAGUCUAAAGAAAAAGAAAGUGCCUUAUUUUCCUUCAUGGUCAUUUAGUCAAGUGUCCUGCAAGAGCAGCUCCUCCCUCAGAGUAAAAGUUAGUGCAUGUCCUCCAUCGCCCAGUAUGUGAAAGGAGAUACGAGGGGAAACAGAUGAGUUGAUGGUCUAAAUUAUAUGAUUUGUGUCACGUUAUCUUGAUGCCAAUUUGCCAAAUCUGAUACUGUGAAAAAAAAUGUAAUAGCUUUUCUAAUGUCUGACUAGUAAAUUUUAAAAUGUCAUUCUCUUACAAAUCAUAAUUGAGUUUUUUGGUUAUUACCGUCUUCAGUGUUAGCCCAGAGGAUUCUGAGGUUAGAAAAAAUUAUGUGAGAUCUGAAUAUUAGUUUACAGAUGACAUUAGAGCUUCAUUUUUUUCAGAGAAGAGGGAUACGUUUAAUUUUUUUCUUAAUAAUUGGAGAUAAUCGUAAUGCCUAACAAACUUUUUCACAAAAAUAAAUCAUCAAAAUCCUUUAUUGUGAAAAAAGUGUUAAGUAACCCAAAUUUAAUCAGACUUUAUGUCAUACCAGAUACCUUGUGUAGUCCAUCUCUGCUGGCUUCAGUAACUGUUCCUAAGUACACAUUUUUGUCCUCUUUUUAACUUUAAAGGAAUGUGGGAAUCUAGCAUCACAGUGCAUAUAAACACUCAGCUACAUUCCUUUCAUCCUCAGUUUCUCACAAAGUUCCAACAGUUCUCUAGUUGAAGCGGUUUGUGUGCAAAGCCUGCAUCUAAAUACUUGAGUUCAUAAAUUUAAUUGCUCAGUACCAGAGGUGGCAAAUCUCAUGUGAUAGAAGACUCCUGGCUCAUCAACUCAUGCCCUCUUCCAUACCUUCAUGGCUUCACAGUCAAGGUCAGCAGGAAGCUCAUUGGGCACCUUCAUGGUGACCUCGCCAUUAUUCUGUCUCUCUUGGAACCAUUUUCAGUUUAUUUACUAUGCAAUAGACAGUCGUUGUUUGUACUCAGCUAGCUUUGGUUUAAUGACCACGGCUUUGUCUUUCUGUUACACACAUGGUGAUUUUGAUUUAUUUACAAUAUAUGCUGUGCCAUUUUUAUUUUGUUUGGUUGGUUGAAUAAAUUUGCGACACUCAGAACACUUGAGGUGAUAGUUUAAAAAAAAAAAACAGUACCAGUAUUUGAUCCAGUCUCAUCUCAGCCGUGUUAUACCUGGACAUUUUAGAUGUUUAUCAAAGGUCUUUUAUGGGGAAGAAAGUAAAUCUGUAAACAGUAGACGGUGACGUUUAUGAGUAAUGCUGGCUCUGAACAAACUUCUGAAAACUUAGUUGACAAUGUUUUGUGUCAACUGAUAAAAGCAUGACUUUUGGGAUCUCUGAAUGCCUUGGUUCUCAGUAUUAUCACUAUUGAAUUUUUUUCUUAUUAAAAUACGUAGUUUUUAAGACUUUUUUCCUGACAGUAUUAUGUAAUUUUUUAGCGUGGGUAGAUGGGAGUGUCGCUGGUAUGUUACCAUACAGCUGACAUGUAUUUUUUGUCUAUUCUUUAUUAUCUUAGUAGUUUCAUGCUAUGUAUGUACCAUAACCAACCUAUUGCCUAUGAGAAACAUGUAAGAUAAUGUAUUUACAGCCAUUGUUACAAGUUUAUAAUGUAUUUUUCUAUCUUGUUUUAUAUGUAUGUUAUAUAACAUUCAGAAGAAUUUUUUUCUUGAUUGAGAAAAGGAUACAAAAUGCAAAAUCCACAAUUUUGAUAACUGAAAAUU